rnacentral:rRNA from 1 species
AAUAUUUGACAAUGGGCGCAAGCCUGAUCCAGCCAUGCCGCGUGAGUGAUGAAGGCCUUAGGGUUGUAAAGCUCUUUCUGCGGGGAAGAUAAUGACGGUACCCGCCGAACAAGCCCCGGCUAACUUCGUGCCUGCAACCGCGGUAAUACGAAGGGGGCGAGCGUUGUUCGGAAUUACUUGGCGUAAAGGGCGCGAAGGCGGACUUUUAAGUCAGGGGUGAAAUCCCCGGGCUCAACCCCGGAACUGCCUUUGAUACUGGUGGUCUUGAGUUCGGGAGAGGUAAGUGGAAUUCCGAGUGUAGAGGUUAAAUUCGUAGAUAUUCGGAGGAACACCAGUGGCGAAGGCGGCUCACUGGCCCGAUACUGACGCUGAGGCGCGAAAGCGUGGGGAGCAAACAGG